AUUGAACGCUGGCGGCAGGCUUAACACAUGCAAGUCGAGCGGAGAUGAGGUGCUUGCACCUUAUCUUAGCGGCGGACGGGUGAGUAAUGCUUAGGAAUCUGCCUAUUAGUGGGGGACAACAUUCCGAAAGGAAUGCUAAUACCGCAUACGUCCUACGGGAGAAAACAGGGGAUCUUCGGACCUUGCGCUAAUAGAUGAGCCUAAGUCGGAUCAGCUAGUUGGUGGGGUAAAGGCCUACCAAGGCGACGAUCUGUAGCGGGUCUGAGAGGAUGAUCCGCCACACUGGGACUGAGACACGGCCCAGACUCCUACGGGAGGCAGCAGUGGGGAAUAUUGGACAAUGGGGGAAACCCUGAUCCAGCCAUGCCGCGUGUGUGAAGAAGGCCUUAUGGUUGUAAAGCACUUUAAGCGAGGAGGAGGCUACUGAGACUAAUACUCUUGGAUAGUGGACGUUACUCGCAGAAUAAGCACCGGCUAACUCUGUGCCAGCCGCCGCUGUAACAC
rnacentral:rRNA from 1 species